GACAGAGGGUGCAAACGUUGUUCGGAAUUACUGGGCGUAAAGGGCGUGCAGGCGGUCUGUUAAGUGCAGGGUGAAAGCUCCCGGCUCAACUGGGAGAGGUCCUUGCAUACUGGCGGACUUGAGGGGGGUAGAGGAAAGUGGAAUUCCCGGUGUAGUGGUGAUAUGCGUAGAUAUCGGGAGGAACACCUGUGGCGAAGGCGGCUUUCUGGGCCCUACCUGACGCUGAGACGCGAAAGCGUGGGGAGCGAACCGG
rnacentral:rRNA from 1 species